UCUCACAUAUCUCACAGAUCUUUUAGACUGACUCACAAAACCCUCUCAGCUCUUUGGCCAAAUAUCUUCUCAGUUAGCAUAUUAACCUAGAAUAUAGAGAUGGUGUUUUUCGGUAUGAGUUGAACGUUGAUGUUCUAAGUGAAUUUUGUCAGUGCUAUAAGAAAGAUUUAGUUUUGAUAUUGUUGUGCCAUAUGUCUUUUAUUCCUGAGUUUUGUACGUGAGCUGCCUAUUUAUUCGCAUGUCAACUAAAAUUAACCAGUUCUAUCCAAACACCACUUGUGUUUGGAUGAAAGGAGCAAAAGUAAUACUAGUAUGUAUUAGAUUCUGUGAAUACUGAUUUCUGCUCUGGUAUCAUGGGCACGCAAAAUUAAAAUAUAUGCAAUGGGAAAUGAAUGAGCCGUUGUCGUUUACUUAAUAGGGAUUGCUGCCUUGAUGUUAGAGAUCAAAGAAAUUAAGAACCAAAAGCACAAAGAGAUGACAUAAUUUUUGCUAUCGUUGCUGAUUGUAGACAUCCAGACGGGCUUCAUAAAUACAGAUGCUCGUCAAAAGAAAAAAUUGGUUAGUGACAGAGGGUGAACAUUUAUGUGAUGCUGCCGCUUCCCUCAGAGAAGAUAAUGUUUGCGCAAGAUUAGAGAGUACUUCAGGUAUACAUACGUAUUUGGACUACGUCCGAUUUAUGGUGAUUGAUGGAUGUUUCUUCAUAGGCAUAAUCAUGUUGAGUUUGUUGGACAUGCUGUUGGUGUUGUUUAGUUUUCACUAAGUUUCUUAAUAUACCAAACUGAUUUUGCUUAACACAACCUGGUAAUAACCAUAUAUAUAGAAAGAGAGAUUAUUUCGAGGCCUUGCAUAUCUGCACCACAACUGUGCUCCGGCCAUCCUUCAUUGAGAUGUCCAGUGUAAUAAUAUAUUGAUUGACUCCAAGUUUAACACUUAUAUUGCAGAUUAGAACAAUGAACAAAUUAGUUGGACUAAUUAAAUAAUAUGCUACAUUUGGAAGCUACUUUAAUAGCAAAAACUCAGGAUUAUGUACCAAUGUGUAACUAAACAACUUCACCUGUUCUUGAUCAUCUUGCGAUUAUGGGGCGUUGUUUGUUGUAUAAAGUACCUGUGAUCAUGUAUGUUGUGUCCAUGACAACAUAUGUCAAUACUGUUCAAUAUUCAUAUCUUGUCCUUGUUGAAUUUAGGCUUAUGUGGUUUAUUCUUCUGAAUUGAAAGUCCAUUCUCACUGAUACAACCGUAGCCAACUCAAAACAACCCCAAAAGAAGCUUGAAAUUCAACUAAGUUGUGCACUUGGAAACCUCACAAAGACUUAUCCUUCUUCUUACUACCCGAAAAGUUCGCUUAUAAAAAUCGAUCCUCUGCAUCAACUCCUCCACCUACAUGUCCAGAUUACUUUCGCUGGAUCUAUGAUGAUCUGUGGCCUUGGAGAGAAAUAGGAAUCACUGAAGAAAUGCUGAUGCGAGCCACAAGUAAUGCAGAAUUCCGGUUGGUGAUAGUGAAUGGGAGAGCAUAUGUUGAAACCUAUAGGAAUUCAUUUCAAAGGUGAGACACAUUUAAAUUAUGGGGCAUAUUACAAAUGUUAAGGAGGUACCCAGUGAAAUGCCCGAUUUGAACCUGAUAUUCACACGUGGUGACCGAACAGUUGUUCAGACCGAAUUCUAUCAACGUCCUAAGGAUUCUGCUCCUCCACCUGUGUUCUAUUACUGUUCAAAUGACGCGGGUUUGGAUAUUGUUUUUCCAGAUUGGUCAUUUUGGGGAUGGUACACUUGCCGUUUACUUACAAUAUUGUUAUGAUAAUGUACUAAACAGUUUUACCGAACCUGAUCUUUUUUUUUUGUUCCAAAAACAUUAUUUAGGACAGAGACUAAUAUAAAGCCUUGUGAGACAUUGUCAAAGGAGUUAUAGAAAGCAAAUGAGAAGAAAAAAUGGACGGAUAGGGAACCAUAUGCCUACUGGAAAUGCAAUCUAUAUGUUGUUUUAAAGCAAGAAAGAACCGUGCAAGUGCAAUGCUUCAGAAAAAUAGGACACAGAUGCACGUAUAUAUGGUCAGGUAUAUUGUUCUGCAACAUAUGUAACCAUGCACGUUCAUCGGCAGGAAUACAAUACAGAAGAUACAAUGUAAAAUAAACUUAACUGAUGAAUCUGCAAAUGUUCAAGUGAGUUCUUAUUCUAUUUUUUAUGUUCACUGUGAUACAAGGUUUUUAAUAAAGUGGUUACAGUAAAAUUUUAAUAUUGACAUAUUCUUGUAAGAUAUGAAGAAAGUAGUGUCAGAUUUAGUUAGAAGGGAAGAUAUAAACUUCAUCAUGCACGUUGUCAUUCCGGGAUAUUAAUUCCUUGGUGUGAUCAUUCCUUGGUCAGAUUGAGCUGUGAUUUAAUCAGUGUAGUAUAGGAAAGAACAAUGGUCAUUUGUAGUGUUGUUAUAAGGGAUCGCCUUUUUGGUCUAGUCAUUCUCUUAAAAUGCUUUUAUUUACAACUGAACUGGGGAGCAUUUUUCUGAUCCUGAGAUAGUGGAUCCUGGAAGGCAAGAAAAGGGCUUGAUUCAUUGCCUAUAAAUUGAGUUGCUCUUUUUUAAUAUGUUUAUUGCCCCUAUAUUUUCCAUUGUGAUAAUUGUACCUCUACGUGCUUUGUUUUGUGUAGUAUUUGAAAGAGAAGAGACUUUCACCUCAGACAUUUAUACCUCUUCAGUAGGUCCGUAUAAAGCCAAUAUUUGAAAGGUUUUGCACAUUGAGUGGAACUGCAAAGCUGGUUUUUGAUGUCAUACAUAACACAGAUUUGAUCAAGCAUUGGAGCGGGCUAUUUUAUUUGCUGUUCAGAAUACCAUUGUUUGCAAUGACUUGAAAGAAGCUAAGCAUCUUAGCUGGAGUGGAAAGAGACUUAAAGUUGAGACUGUUGAUGGGAUUUUAUUAACAAAAUCUGGUACAAUGACUGGUGGUACUAGUGGUGGUAUGGAAGCACGCUCUCAUAAAUAGGAUGAUAAAAAAAUUGAAGGACUUAAGAAGAACUUGAGUCAGAAUUGGAGGAGCGUGGAUCAAUAAGGGUGAUGCAGCUUAAGGAGUCUGAAGCAUCUGGCAGAAUCAGUGGACUUGAGAAAAAGAUUCACUAUGCGGAGAUAGAAAAGUUUUUUCACUAUCUUUUCUAAAAAAAUUUGUGAACAACCGUCAUUUUGCAUCCGUCUUAUUAGUCCUUUGAGAUUCUUACAUUUACAUCAAUUUUCGAUUUUAGAUGUCCUUGUAGAUUCUUAUAUAACACUUUCUUCCUGAUAAAGAUUGAUUUUGUGAGGGGGGGAAACUAUUUAAACUACUCUCAUCACUCUUCUCUUU